GCUCUCGUAGUAUAGUGGUUAGUAUUGGGGACUGUGAAUCCCUAGGGGGGGGUUCGAUUCCCCCCGAGAGCC
rnacentral:tRNA from 1 species